GUUGUGUUGAUUAACAUUUUUUUAAAUACAAGUUUUUGAAACUUUUUAAAAUGUUGCAUACCUUUUUUUGUAACACAUAAAUAUUUUUUGAAUGUCACAAACACAAGAAUAUAAAUUGUUUUCUUACAUCUGGACGUGUUGUGUUGUCGGUGGUAAUCUUAGUUAACCUUGACCACAAGGUCACAUGGUUGAGCCACGGUGCUCAUUUUUUUCCGUGUUACAUUUCUUGUAAAAUUUAUUUUCAGUCAAUGUUUAUAUGAUACAGAAAUUAGUCGUGCUAUAUAGACAUGAAUAGUCAGUAGUCUGGUGGUUGUACACGUGAGACUACUAGGGCACGUUGCAGCUUCAAAACCCCAUAUCGUUUGCUUUUUAAUUUUAUUUUUAGGGGCUUAAUAUGAAAAUAAAAAAAGGCAAAGGCUUCUCUGCAGAUUUAGAUGCUACAGCGGAUGAUAGUGGGCCCUGGCCACACUGGAAUGCCACAUAGGCCAUGGAUACGUUCGUGUACAUGAAAUGUGACUGUAUAUGAAUGCUCGUGCAAGUUUGAUGACCAGAAACACGUAUUUUACAAGUUUGUGUACCAAAUUGACCAUUGCAUGCAAGUUCUAUGACUUCGGGUGUAUUUACCUCUAUAAUCUAGAACUCAUUGGUGCAUCACAACUUUAGCGAGCGCUGGGCUGACAAAUCGCUCGAGCAGGGAGUACUCCUCGGGAUAGUGAGAGCUAAGAAACAAGGGCUCCAUCGAUGCAUCAGUUGCUGGAGGAUCAGUUGCUGGAGCAUUUGUAAUAUGUGGCUCCAUUUUAUGCAUUUGUAAUCUCUACUCCUAGGAAUAGGGAUAGCUUAGAAACAAGGGCUCAAUCAUCAGUUGGUGGAGCAUCAGUUCCUGGAGCAUUUGUAAUCUAUGCAUGCAUUGGUAAUGGAUUUGUUUUGUAAUCAGUGUAAUCUGUGCAUGCGUUUGUAA